UGGCGUGAAAUGGAGGCAUCAGGACACACGUCGCCUGCCGUGUAUUAAUACGGGAUGGAUGGCUUACCCCGCACCUUUGACAAAUGCAGCCCCGAAUGUGUCUCACUCCCUGCACCUGCGUGGAAUUGAAAAAUCUUGGCGUAGAAUGUAAGGUCACGAAGAGAAUGAUCAAAGAAUUGAGAUAAUUUAGCCUGAAGAAAGAAAGCCUGAGGACUGAUUGAACUUUUAAAAGAUCAUGCAGAGAACAGCCACUUCCAAAUUCUUUAAAGAUGCUGAAAUUGGAAACCAGGAAUUAUAUAACUAAUGCUGCUUCAUAAACCUGGGAUCUGUCACUUGCUAACUUGAGCCCUUCCCUGGAGAGAUCAGUGGAUUUGUCCUCUGCUGAAGAUAUGCCAGUUGCAGUCCACAGCGAGCGAGUGGUUGAAAAGAGAUGCAAACUGACCUUGAACAUGCUUGGUGUCUACACCCGUAUUUAUAGUGAGAAUAUGAACACCAUGAGUCCAGAGAUUUGUGUAUCUGCCUGUUCAAGUAUGUAACCCCUGG